rnacentral:rRNA from 1 species
AUUGAACGCUGGCGGCAUGCUUUACACAUGCAAGUCGAACGGUAACAGGGUGCUUGCACCGCUGACGAGUGGCGAACGGGUGAGUAAUGCGUCGGAACGUGCCGAGUAGUGGGGGAUAACGCAGCGAAAGUUGUGCUAAUACCGCAUACGUACUGAGGUAGAAAGUGGGGGACCUUCGGGCCUCACGCUAUUCGAGCGGCCGACGUCUGAUUAGCUAGUAGGUGAGGUAAAGGCUCACCUAGGCGACGAUCAGUAGCGGGUCUGAGAGGAUGAUCCGCCACACUGGGACUGAGACACGGCCCAGACUGCUACGGGAGGCAGCAGUGGGGAAUUUUGGACAAUGGGCGAACGCCUGAUCCAGCCAUGCCGCGUGUCUGAAGAAGGCCUUCGGGUUGUAAAGGACUUUUGUCAGGGAGGAAAUCCCUAGCGCUAAUACCGCUGGGGGAUGACAGUACCUGAAGAAUAAGCACCGGCUAACUACGUGCCAGCCGCCGCCGUAACAC